GCUGCUCCUGGGCAGAGGGCAUCCCUACAGAGGAGGAACGAGUCCCUUAUCCCAGUUCCAUGAAAGCAGAAAAGAACGGAUGCUGCACAGAAGCCCUUGUUCAGGCACAGAGAGGUGUAGAGAAGGAUGACCAACCAUGAUAGCUGGCACAGACGGAACACAAGCGUGUUUUACAGAGGACCUGUUUUGCAGAUCUUAAGCAGAUCAGCGGUUAACUGAAAUACACAAACACAUAAGCUUGACGCACCGCAGCAAAGGUUUCAAAGUGGCCCUUGAUGUGACAGGAGAGUGAAUCCACGGCCGUACCCAACCCAAGCAGGAGGCUCGACUGCUUGGCCAUACCCACAUCCAUCCAUUUACUGUUUAUGUUGCGAUGAGACCUUACUAAGUUCCGAGGGAAGCAGUCCCACAGCCGUGCUUCCUGAAGUAGCUCUGAUUAGAGAGUUACCACAGCUAAGCCAACUGAAAGAGGAGUCCGCAUGGACCAGUUGUUGAAGUGAUCGUAAACUAAAGAUCAUAAAGUAUCCAUGCGUUUGUGUGAUUACGUGUCUGAAGGUAGGUGAGUAUAGGCGUGUGUGUGUGUGAGUCUGUGUAAGUCUUGUUUGGUUGAGCAUGUCCAUGUGUGUCUAGUAGAGUAUAAAAGUAGGACCAAUGAAUGAGGACCAAGUUGAACCACCCUUCCUUAAGAAGGAGACCAUAAAGGUUAGGAUGUUGUGGGAAAUGCUGCCUCUCAGUAUAGAGGAGACACCAGUCAACGCAGCACACAGCGUGAUUCAAGAUGGACAGCCAGAAUGCUAGCUCACAUUCAGGUAAAGUCUCAUCUCUGGAUAGGGGUCAGCUGAUUGGCUAAGUGAGGCAGACAGAAUCUUCGGACCCCAUGGGUUUUAUAUGUCCAAUGGUUUGCUAAGCAACUCACAGAUCAUUCUCCACAAGCUCUAUGGGAAGAAAUGAGUUAAUGAAAUUGAAACUAGGAUGUGGAUUGUAGAGGACUGUAGAGGUUGGGGGAAUUCAUGAUUGUCUAGGAAGAGGCUGGAGGGAUUACACAGUGAGCAGCAUGUCCCGAAGAGCAAAAGAACGGAUCUGAAGUAGAGUCCCGUGAAUGUCCUUUGGUCUCAACCAUGAAGAUAAAUGAACUUUGUUUAGAGCUGGUCAAGAAACAUCUCAAGUGUGCAAUAAACUAACAAAACUGAAGGAGACCUAGUCAGACCCUGUGCUGAAAGAAUAUUAGAGAGCCUAAGUAAUCCACAGAAACCCAGGCAUUGAAUGCUGGAUACAAAGAAAAAGGAACUUGUUACAGAUUCACAUGACCUGGGAACAGCCAGAGAAACUUGGUGAGUGCUUAGUGCCUGACUUUGCUAUUGGAGUGCACCCUUCACAGCUGCACAUCGUCCCAGACCUAGAAACAUUCAGGAUUUGAUUAACUGAACGCUGCACACUAGAAAACCUUGGGUUCCUAAAAGUCUCCUGUGGCUUACAGGUUACUUUCAGGCAGACCAAGAAGAGUGUGAUGGACUCAUCAUUUGAACACAGUCGCCAUUUUAAUCCAUGAAAAUUCCCGAUGUCUGUCUUGGGCAUGAUUUGAGCUAGGGGUGGAAACUGGCGCAGGUUAAGAGGAACUCUUAGCUUUAGAAUGGGAAGGAAUCUGCAUUUCAUUCAUUCAAAAAUGGGAGUAAAAAAAAAAAAAA
rnacentral:sRNA from 1 species